rnacentral:rRNA from 1 species
UCAAGCUAAUAAGAGCGCAGGGAGGAUGCCUUGGCAUUGGGAGCCGACGAAGGACGUGGUAAGCUGCGAAAAGCUGCGGGGAAUUGCAAGCAAGUAUUGAUCCGCAGAUGUCCGAAUGGAGCAAUCCGUUAAGAGUAAUAUCUUAACAUCAUAUACUGAAUCAAUAGGUAUAUGAGGGGAACCGCCUGAACUGAAACAUCUAAGUAGGGCGAGGAAAAGAAAUCAACCGAGAUUCCGAAAGUAGUGGCGAGCGAAAUCGGAAGAGGCUAAACCGAACUCAGAAAUGAGAUCGGGGUUUAGGACUGCAUUUAGUAUUGAAAUGAGCGAGCAGAAUGCUUUGGGAAAAGCAGCCGAAGAACGUGAGAGCCGUGUAAGCGAAGUGAGUUUCAGCGAGCAGUAUCCAAAGUACCGCGGGGCACGUGAAAUCCCGUGGGAAGAUGGGGGGACCACCCUCCAAGCCUAAAUACUACCCAAUGACCGAUAGCGAAUAGUACUGUGAAGGAAAGGUGAAAAGCACCCCGGGAGGGGAGUGAAAAAGAACCUGAAACCCUGUGCUUACAAGCACUGAGAGCUCGUCAAAGAGUGAUCAGGUACCUAUUGUAGAAUGGUCCGGCGAGUUAUGAUAUGCAGCAAGGUUAAGUACUUAAGGUACGGAGCCGCAGCGAGAGCGAGUCUGAAUAGGGCGUAAAGUUGUAUGUCAUAGACCCGAAACCGAGUGACCUAGCCAUGUCCAGGCUGAAGUGGAGGUAAAACUCCAUGGAGGGCCGAACCGACCUCCGUUGAAAAGGCGGCGGAUGAGGUGUGGCUAGCGGAGAAAUUCCAAUCGAACUCGGAUAUAGCUGGUUCUCUCCGAAAUAGCUUUAGGGCUAGCGUUGCAACAGAUUACCGGAGGUAAAGCACUGAAUAGGCUAGGGGGCGAGAGCUUACUGAACCUUAUCAAACUAAGAAUGCCGGAUAAUUGAUUUGCAGCAGUCAGACAGUGUGAGAUAAGUUUCAUUGUCAAAAGGGAAACAGCCCAGACCCACAGCUAAGGUCCCAAAGUACAUUUGAGUGGAAAAGGAUGUGGGGUUGCAUAGACAACCGGGAUGUUGGCUUAGAAGCAGCCAUACAUUAAAAGAGUGCGUAAUAGCUCACCGGUCGAGUGACCCUGCGCCGAAAAUUCAACGGGGCUAAAAUGUACACCGAAGCUUGGGAUUGUACUUUGUACAGUGGUAGGAGAGCGUCGAAUACGGGGUGAAGUCAGAGCGAAAGCGCUGGUGGACUGUAUUCGAGUGAGAAUGCCGGAAUGAGUAGCGAGAAUUAUGUGAGAAUCAUAAUGGCCGAAAGUCUAAGGUUUUGGAAGGAAGGUUCGUCCGCUUCCAGUAAGCCGGGAGCUAAGGUGAGGCCGAAAGGCGUAGCCGAUGCACAUACGGUUGAAAUUCCGUAGCCUCCGAAGUAUUUAAACAGAAGGACACUUGAGAAGUGAUGAUGCCGGGCGAUGGUUGACCCGGUCGUAAGGGACCGAAAUUUAGUAGGGAAGUCAUCAUGGAUCGAGGCGAGAAAAGUUCUGUGAAUAUACAAGGAGCCCGUACCGCAAACCGACACAGGUAGAUAGGAAGAAAAUUCUAAGGCCAACGGGAGAAGGGUUGUUAAGGAACUCGGCAAGUUGACCCCGUAACUUCGGAAUAAGGGGUGCUCUCGAGAGAGAGCCGCAGAGAAUAGGCCCAGGCGACUGUUUAGCAAAAACACAGCUCUAUGCUAAAUCGAAAGAUGAUGUAUAUGGGGUGACACCUGCCCGGUGCCGGAAGGUUAAGAGGAGGCGUGAGAGCGCUGAAUUGAAGCCCCGGUAAACGGCGGCCGUAACUAUAACGGUCCUAAGGUAGCGAAAUUCCUUGUCAGGUAAGUUCUGACCCGCACGAAUGGUGUAACGAUCUGGGCACUGUCUCAACAACCCGCCCGGCGAAAUUGUAGUACCGGUGAAGAUGCCGGUUACCCGCGACUAGACGGAAAGACCCCAUGGAGCUUUACUGCAGCUUAAUGUUGAAUUUCGGUAUUUCAUGUACAGGAUAGGUGGGAGACUGGGAACUACAGGCGUCAGCUUGUGGGGAGUCACUGUUGGGAUACCACUCUUGAAGUGCUGGAAUUCUAACCUGCGGCCUUGAAUCAGGUCGGGGGACAUCGUUAGGCGGGCAGUUUGACUGGGGCGGUCGCCUCCAAAAGAGUAACGGAGGCGCUCAAAGGUUCGCUCAGCAUGGACGGAAACCAUGCCAAAGAGUGCAAACGCAAAAGCGAGCCUAACUGCGAGACUGACGGGUCGAGCAGUAACGAAAGUUGGAGUUAG